UUGUACAGCCAUACCACUCGGAACAGGCUUUGCUUUGUCCAGUCUUGGAAAUAAACAGGUUCGGGCCUAUAAGCAGUUGAAUGGGAGAAAUUAAGUACACUCUGAGUAGGCUCUGUACUAA
rnacentral:rRNA from 14 species